rnacentral:rRNA from 1 species
UACGAAGGGGGCUAGCGUUGUUCGGAAUUACUGGGCGUAAAGCGCGCGCAGGCGGUUCUUCAAGUCAGAGGUGAAAGCCCAGAGCUCAACUCUGGAAUGGCCUUUGAGACUAGAGAACUAGGGUACGGGAGAGGUGAGUGGAAUUCCGAGUGUAGAGGUGAAAUUCGUAGAUAUUCGGAAGAACACCAGUGGCGAAGGCGGCUCACUGGCCCGUUACCGACGCUCAGGCGCGACAGCGUGGG